GGCUGGUCCGAUGGUAGUGGGUUACCAGAACUUAUUAACUAGUGUCACUAAAGUUGGUAUACAACCCCCCACUGCUAAAUUUGACUGGCUUUAA
rnacentral:Y_RNA from 1 species